GCCCCCAGCUCGGGGAGGGGGCGCCGCGGGCCCGGGGAGCACGGACAACCCCUACCCAUGAGGCCCUGAUGGAAAACACAAAGGAUCUGAGUCGGAAGAGACAUUAGAGGUCACCCAAAGCAGCCGUCCCCUCUGCAGCCUCUCUGACAAGUGCUUUUCAGGUUCAUACUUAAGGAUUCAUAGCUUUCUUCUGAAGAACUGAAAGCCCAUUCAUGUGAAUUAUUUUAUUUAAUCAUACAUCCUUCC